rnacentral:tRNA from 1 species
GGUUGUGGCUCAGUGGUAUAGCGCUCUCCUAGAAUGCCUGAGGCACUGGGUUUGAAUCUCAGCACCA